CACGCUAUGUGAAGAAGUUCACAGGCUGAAAUUCACUGCAGUUCAGCACCUCUCAGUCAAACAGUAGGUUAGUGAUUUGCCUUUGAUCUCACAGCUGUUUAGGAUGCAGUCAUUAACGAGACACACACACACGCACGCACACACAUUCUUGUACUUGUUGCUUUUUGAGGUCCACCUUGCAGUUCAUCUGCUUGUACACACAGUUAAUAUGUGUCUGCUUCACCACCUAUCUCCACCCACAAACUUUGAGCUACAGAAACCAUUCUGGGCUUCAAAAAUUCAGCUCAUUGAAGAUAUUAUGGGGUGUUUUGAGGAUUGUGAUAAUAAAUUGUAUUAAUGUGUUUAGCAGAGUCUUGUGUUCUCACAAGCUCCUUAUGAAUAUAUACAGAGGAUGAGCGUCAGGGCCUACUUGGAGUCCUGUUUCUUUAGCUUCAAGCCUUCUUUCUCCUGCUAUAGUUAUGCAUCCAAGGUCCCCAUGGCAACCAAUUUGUGCACCUGGAGACACACAGCUGACUGGAAAGCUGCUUCUAAUGGCCAUAUGAGACACAUGAAGCCAGGCUUAGUACGCAUAGCACUGGGGAUGACACUUAAAACCCUUUACUAGAGUGCUUGAAAAAACUUCAGCCCCUAUCUCCUCACAUGAACUUUGGCCUACAGAAACCAUUCAGGGCUUUAAAAUUUAUGCUCAUUAAGGACAUUAUGGGGUGUAUUCAUGAUUUAUAUUCAUUUAAAUUUUCACUUUUAUAAGUCACUCAGUGAUGAUUUAUCAUUUAAUUUUUCAAACUAAUUUAAACUCAUUCAAACUGAUACAAACCUUUCUAAUACUUAAAAACCAUUUGAUACUUGAGGAUUUUUCAUUAUUUAAAUUUUCCCUGUUUUAAAUUAGUUUUAAUAUUUAUGCAUUACUCCAUCCUUCAAACAAAAUCCUACCUCAAGUACGACAACUACUGCUAAUGUCAGUCAAACUAGUACUUUCCCCUCUACUUCAACUGCUAUUGCUCCUUUUUCUACUUUCUCUACUGCUGCUAUUGCUACUAUUUCUACUUUCUCUACUACUUUGACUUAUACUUCUUUUAUUCUCAAUCUACUUCUACUGCUGACAUGACUACUAGUAUCACGACUUGACCUCUUAUACUACUUCUAGUACUACAACUUAAACUUAUGCCACUUCUCGCCUUCCUGCCUUUUAAGGCAAUUUCCUUCUUCAUUCAAACUUUGUGCAAUUUCAGACAUUUUUCUAGCCCCUUUCAGCAUGAAUAAAAUUUCCUUUCAUAGAGCAUAUUCAUACUAUUUGUCCUUCAACAAUUUCAACAUUUAUCCAACUUAUAUUUCUUUUUCACCUCUUCAACAGCUUUAACAUUUAUACCUUUCUCCUUGUUUUAUUAGCAGUUUAGCAUUGCUUUUUUAGCUUUCAGCACUCAGCAUUUCCACGCAUUUUCUGCAAGGAAAUGCAAUUUUUCUAGUUAAGUGGAAAUGCUGAUUAAGCAUUUCCACUUAUUGUUAUUCUCCCGUUUCUUUAUUAUUAUUAUUAUUAUUAAACUUAUUAUUCUUCCGUCCCUUUUUUGGACCGCUUCUCCUCCUUCAAACUUUGUCCGAUUUCAACCGUUCAAACUUUAAACUAUUCCACUCCUUCAGGACAUUAUUGCUAUUACUUUUCACUCUUCUACCCUUUAUACUUUUUGAUAUUUUUAACUUUUUGUGCAAAAAUUUUAACAUUGAAGUCAAUGGGGAAAUCUUAAAAUUCUACCUUUUACUCUUCCACCUUCAAAGCCUUAUAACUUCAGCAUACUUUCACCUAGAGACCUCAUUUUUGCUUUAAAAUGUUCACUCAAUUGUCGACUAUUAAAGUUGUACUCAGUUUUUUGAUAUCUCUUACAGUUUUUCCACAAUUUAGCUUUAAGCAACUUGUGGUUUUCAGCAAAUUUCAAGCUUUAUAAUGGGUGUGUAUUGGAGAGUUUAGAGUGAUGAUGUCAUCAGCUAGAGUGCAGACCUCGUCUCUGAUCGACAGAACCUCGCUCGAAUAUAUCGCUCCCACGCCCACAAAUCUCACUCCAGAGCCAUAAAAAAUACAUCAAAAUGGAGGUAUAUGUGUCCUGCUUCUCACAAAAGAGGUUUCAAAUCAUUUAAUCUUACCCCUUGGCCAGCAGGUGACCAACUGUCCAAAUAAGGCGGAAAUCUCUCCCAUUGACCAUAAUGUUAUUUUUCUCCAAGAAAAUCCGGAUCAUCGCUCAGGCUCAGACUUUUUUAACUCGCUGUUGUGGCCUCUUUUUUCGAAGUACAGACAUGAAAAACACAUCAUUGUGUUCAUGAAGGGCGGAGGAUUCGUACGAUGUUCUUAUUUUCAUUCUGUGACUUAAGGAAAUCACGCUAUGUGAAGAAGUUUAGAGCCUCUAAAUCCUCUGCAGUUCAGCUGCUUCUCAUUCAAACAGUAGGUCAGUGAUUUGCCUUUGAUCUCACAGCUGUUUAGGAUGCAGUCAUUAACGAGACACACACACACACACACACACACACACACACACACACACACAUUCUUGUACUUGUUGCUUUAUGAGGUCUACCUUGCAGUUCAGCUGCUUGUACACACAGUUAAUAUGUGUCUGCUUCGCCACCUAUCUCCACCCACAAACUUUGAGCUACAGAAACCAUUCUGGGCUUCUAAAAUUCAGCUCAUUGAAGAUAUUAUGGGGUGUUUUGAGGAUUGUGAUAAUAAAUUGUAUUAAUGUGUUUAGCAGAGUCUUGUGUUCUCACAAGCUCCUUAUCAGGAAUAGAUACAGAGGAUGAGCGUCAGGGCCUACUUGGAGUCCUGUUUCCUUAGCUUCAAGCCUUCUUUCUCCUGCUAUAGUUAUGCAUCCAAGGUCCCCAUGGCAACCAAUUAGUGCACCUGGAGACACACAGCUGACUGGAAAGCUGCUUCUAAUGGCCAUAUGAGACACAUGAAGCUAGGCUCAGCACACAUAGCACUGGGGAUGACACUUAAAACCCUUUACUAGAGAGCUUGAAAAAACUUCAGCCCCUAUCUCCUCACAUGACCUUUGACCUACAGAAACCAUUCAGGGCUUUAAAAUUUGAGCUCAUUGAGGACAUUAGGGGGUGUAUUAAGGAUUUAUAUACAUUUAGAUUUUUCACAUUUUAAAGUCACUCAGUGAUGAUUUAUCAUUUAAUUUUUCAAACUAAUUUGAACUGAUUCAAACUGAUUCAAACCUUUCUAAUACUUAAAAAAUUAAACUUAUGCCACUUCUCACCUUCCUGCCUUUUAAGGCAAUUUCCUUCUUCAUUCAAACUUUGUGCAAUUUUAGACAUUUUUCUAGCCUCUUUCAGCAUGAAUAAAAUUUCUUUUUAUAGAGCAUAUUCAUACUAUUUGUCCUUCAACCAAUUAAUCAAUUAUCCAACUUACAUUUCUUUCACACCCCUUCAACAGCUUUAACAUUUAUACAUUUCUCCAUGUUUUAUUAGCAGUUUAGCAUUGCUUUUUCAGCUUUCAGCACUCAGCAUUUCCACGCAUUUUCUGCAAGGAAAUGCAAUUUUUCUAGUAUUAUACUUAACACUCUCCCCAUACGUUUCUUUGGACCGCUUCUCCUCCUUCAAACUUUGUCCGAUUUCAACCGUUCAAACUUUAAACUAUUCCACUCCAUCAGGACAUGUGUGCUUGUAUUUUUUUCCUUUCUAUCCUUUGUACUUUUUAUUAUUUUUCACUUUUUGUUCCAAACUUUUUUCCCAUAGAAAUGAAUGGGGAAAUCUUCCAAUUCUUCCUGUUAUUCGUGCACCUUCUAAGCCUUAUAACUUCAGCAUACUUUCACCUAGAGACCUCAUUUUUGCUUUAAAAUGUUCAUUGUCUUGUCGACUAUUGAUGUUGUAUUAACCUUUUUGUGCUAUCUUUUACAGUUUUUCCACAAUUUAGCUUUAUGCAACUUGUGGUUUUCAGCAAAUUUCAGGCUUUAUAAUAGGGGUGUAUUGGAGAGGCUAGAGUGAUGAUUUGAAAAGCUAGAGUGCAGACCUCCUCCCUGAUCGACAGAACCUCGCUCGAAUAUAUCGCUCCCACGCCCACAAAUCUCACUCCACAGCCAUAAAAAAUACAUCAAAAUGGAGGUAUAUGUGUCCUGCUUCUCACAAAAGAGGUUUCAAAUCAUUAAAUCUUACCCCUUGGCCAGCAGGUGACCAACUGUCCAAAUAGGCGGAAAUCUCUCCCCAUUGGCUCUAAUGUAUUUUUUCUCCAAGAAAAUCCUUAUCGCCACUCAGGCUCAGACUUUUUUAACUCGCUGUUGUGGCGACAUUUUUCGGAGUACAGACAUGAAAAACACAUCAUUGUGUUCAUGAAGGGCGGAGGAUUUGUACGAUGUUCUUAUUUUCAUUCUGGGACUUAAGGAAAUCGUGCUAUGUGAAGAAGUUCAGAACCCUAAAUUCACUGCAGUUCAGCAGCUUCUCCAUUCAAACAAUAGGUCAGUUCAUGGCUUUGAUCUUACAGCUGUUUAGGAUGCAGUCAUUAACGAGACACACACACACACACACACACACACAUUCUUGUACUUGUUGCUUUAUGAGGUCUACCUUGCAGUUCAGCUGCUUGUACACACAGUUAAUAUGUGUCUGCUUCGCCACCUAUCUCCACCCACAAACUUUGAGCUACAGAAACCAUUCUGGGCUUCUAAAAUUCAGCUCAUUGAAGAUAUUAUGGGGUGUUUUGAGGAUUGUGAUAAUAAAUUGUAUUAAUGUGUUUAGCAGAGUCUUGUGUUCUCACAAGCUCCUUAUCAGGAAUAGAUACAGAGGAUGAGCGUCAGGGCCUACUUGGAGUCCUGUUUCCUUAGCUUCAAGCCUUCUUUCUCCUGCUAUAGUUAUGCAUCCAAGGUCCCCAUGGCAACCAAUUAGUGCACCUGGAGACACACAGCUGACUGGAAAGCUGCUUCUAAUGGCCAUAUGAGACACAUGAAGCCAGGCUCAGCACACAUAGCACUGGGGAUGACACUUAAAACCCUUUACUAGAGCGCUUGAAAAAACUUCAGCCCCUAUCUCCUCACAUGACCUUUGACCUACAGAAACCAUUCAGGGCUUUAAAAUUUGAGCUCAUUGAGGACAUUAUUGGGUGUAUUUAGGAUUGUUAUUCAUUUAAAUUUUUCACAUUUUAAAAGUCAGUCAGUGAUGAUUUAUCAUUUAAUUUUUCAAACUAAUUUGAACUCAUUCAAACUGAUUCAAACCUUUCUAAUACUUAAAAAAUUAAUCUUAUACCACUUCUCACUUUCCUGCCUUUUGAGGCAAUUUCCUUCUUCAUUCAAACUUUGUGCAAUUUUAGACAUUUUUCUAGCCUCUUUCAGCAUGAAUAAAAUUUCUUUUUAUAGAGCAUAUUCAUACUAUUUGUCCUUCAACCAAUUAAUCAAUUAUCCAACUUACAUUUCUUUCACACCCCUUCAACAGCUUUAACAUUUAUACAUUUCUCCAUGUUUUAUUAGCAGUUUAGCAUUGCUUUUUCAGCUUUCAGCUUUCAGCACUCAGCAUUUCCACGCAUUUUCUGCAAGGAAAUGCAAUUUUUCUAGUAUUAUACUUAACACUCUCCCCAUACGUUUCUUUGGACCGCUUCUCCUCCUUCAAACUUUGUCCGAUUUCAACCGUUCAAACUUUAAACUAUUCCACUCCUUCAGGACAUGAUGGCUAUUACUUUUCUCUUUUCUACCCUUUAUACUUUUUAUUAUUUUUCACUUUUUGUGCCAAACUUUUUUUCCCAUAGAAAUGAAUGGGGAAAUCUUUCAAUUCUUCCUGUUAUUCGUCCACCUUCUAAGCCUUAUAACUUCAGCAUACUUUCACCUAGAGACCUAAUUUUUGCUUUAAAAUGUUCAUUGUCUUGUCGACUAUUGAUAUUGUAUUAACCUUUUUGUGCUAUCUUUUACAGUUUUUCCACAAUUUAGCUUUAUGCAACUUGCGGUUUUCAGCAAAUUUCAGGCUUUAUAAUAGGGGUGUAUUGGAGAGGCUAGAGUGAUGAUGUCAUCAGCUAGAGUGCAGACCUCGUCUCUGAUCAACACAACCUCGCUCGAAUAUAUCGCUCCCACGCCCACAAAUCUCACUCCACAGCCAUAAAUAAUAGAUCAAAAUGGAGGUAUAUGUGUCCUGCUUCUCACAAAAGAGGUUUCAAAUCAUUAAAUCGUACCCCUUGGCCAGCAGGUGACCAACUGUCCAAGGAAGGCGGAAAUGUCUCCCAUUGACCAUAAUGUUAUUUUUCUCCAGGAAAAUCCGGAUCAUCGCUCAGGCUCAGACUUUUUUAACUCGCUGUUGUGGCCUCAUUUUUCGAAGUACAGACAUGAAAAACACAUCAUUGUGUUCAUGAAGGACGGAGGAUUCGUACGAUGUUCUUAUUUUCAUUCUGGGACUUAAGGAAAUCACGCUAUGUGAAGAAGUUCACAGGCUUCAAAUCCUCUGCUGUUCAGCUGCUUCUCAUUCAAACAGUAGGUCAGUGAUUUGCCUUUGAUCUCACAGCUGUUAGGGAUGCAGUCAUUAAUGAGACACACACACACACACACACACACACAUUCUUGUACUUGUUGCUUUGUCAGGUCUACCUUGCAGUUCAGCUGCUUGUACACACAGUUAAUAUGUGUCUGCUUCACCACCUAUCUCCACCCACAAACUUUGAGCUACAGAAACCAUUCUGGGCUUGAAAAAUUCAGCUCAUUGAAGAUAUUAUGGGGUGUUUUGAGGAUUGUGAUAAUAAAUUGUAUUAAUGUGUUCAGCAAAAUCUUGUGUUCUCACAAGCUCCUUAUGAAUAUAUACAGAGGGUGAGCGUCAGGGCCUACUUGGAGUCCUGUUUCUUUAGCUUCAAGCCUUCUUUCUCCUGCUAUAGUUAUGCAUCCAAGGUCCCCAUGGCAACCAAUUUGUGCACCUGGAGACACACAGCUGACUGGAAAGCUGCUUCUAAUGGCCAUAUGAGACACAUGAAGCCAGGCUCAGUACACAUAGCACUGGGGAUGACACUUAAAACCCUUUCCUAGAGCGCUUGAAAAAACUUCAGCCCCUAUCUCCUCACAUGACCUUUGACCUACAGAAACCAUUCAGGGCUUUAAAAUUUAAGCUCAUUGAGGACAUUAUGGGGUGUAUUUAGGAUUGUUAUUCAUUUAAAUUUUUCACAUUUUAAAAGUCACUCAGUGAUGAUUUAUCAUUUAAUUUUUCAAACUAAUUUAAACUCAUUCAAACUGAUUCAAACCUUUCUAAUACUUCAAAACUUUCUGAUACUUGAGGACUUUUGAUAAUUUAAAAUUUCCCUGUUUUAAAUUAGUUUUAAUAUUUAUGCAUUACUCCAUCAUUCAAACAAAAUCCUACCUCAAGUACGACAACUACUGCUAAUGUCAAUUAAACUAGAACUUUCCCCUCUACUUCAACUGCUAUUGCUCCUAUUUCUACUUUCUUUACUACUUUGACUUAUACUUCUUUUAUUCUCAAUCUACUUCUACUGCUGACAUGACUACUAGUAUCACGACUUGACUUCUUAUACUACAAUUUAAACUUAUGCCACUUCUCACCUUCCUGCCUUUUAAGGCAAUUUCCUUCUUCAUUCAAACUUUGUGCAAUUUUAGACAUUUUUCUAGCCUCUUUCAGCAUGAAUAAAAUUUCCUUUUAUAGAGCAUAUUCAUACUAUUUGUCCUUCAACCAAUUAAGUAGUUAUCCAACUUAUUUUUCUUUUUCAUUCCUUCAACAGCUUUAACAUUUAUACCUUUCUCCAUGUUUUAUUAGCAGUUUAGCAUUGCUUUUUCAGCUUUCAGCACUCAGCAUUUCCACGCAUUUUCUGCAAGGAAAUGCAAUUUUUCUAGUAUUAUACUUAACACUCUCCCCAUACGUUUCUUUGGACCGCUUCUCCUCCUUCAAACUUUGUCCGAUUUCAACCGUUCAAACUUUAAACUAUUCCGCUCCAUCAGGACAUGAUGGCUAUUACUUUUCUCUUUUCUACCCUUUAUACUUUUUAUUAUUUUUCACUUUUUGUGCCAAACUUUUUUCCCCAUAGAAAUGAAUGGGGAAAUCUUUCAAUUCUUCCUGUUAUUCGUCCACCUUCUACACCUUAUAACUUCAGCAUACUUUCACCUAGAGACCUAAUUUUUGCUUUAAAAUGUUCAUUGUCUUGUCGACUAUUGAUGUUGUAUUAACCUCUUGGUGCUAUCUUUUACAGUUUUUCCACAAUUUAGCUUUAUGCAACUUGUGGUUUUCAGCAAAUUUCAGGCUUUAUAAUAGGGGUGUAUUGGAGAGGCUAGAGUGAUGAUUUGAAAAGCUAGAGUGCAGACCUCGUCUCUGAUCGACAGAACCUCGCUCAAAUAUAUCGCUCCCACGCCCACAAAUCUCACUCCACAGCCAUAAAAAAUACAUCAAAAUGGAGGUAUAUGUGUCCUGCUUCUCACAAAAGAGGUUUCAAAUCAUUAAAUCCUACCCCUUGGCCAGCAGGUGACCAACUGUCCAAAUAGGCGGAAAUCUCUCCCCAUUGGCCCUAAUGUAUUUUUUCUCCAAGAAAAUCCUUAUCGCCACUGAGGCUCAGACUUUUUUAACUCGCUGUUGUGGCCACAUUUUUCGGAGUACAGACAUGAAAAACACAUCAUUGUGUUCAUGAAGGACGGAGGAUUCGUACGAUGUUCUUAUUUUCAUUCUGGGACUUAAGGAAAUCACGCUAUGUGAAGAAGUUCACAGGCUGAAAUUCACUGCAGUUCAGCACCUCUCAGUCAAACAGUAGGUUAGUGAUUUGCCUUUGAUCUCACAGCUGUUUAGGAUGCAGUCAUUAACGAGACACACACACACACACACACACAUUCUUGUACUUGUUGCUUUUUGAGGUCCACCUUGCAGUUCAGCUGCUUGUACACACAGUUAAUAUGUGUCUGCUUCACCACCUAUCUCCACCCACAAACUUUGAGCUACAGAAACCAUUCUGGGCUUGAAAAAUUCAGCUCAUUGAAGAUAUUAUGGGGUGUUUUGAGGAUUGUGAUAAUAAAUUGUAUUAAUGUGUUCAGCAGAGUCUUGUGUUCUCACAAGCUCCUUAUGAAUAUAUACAGAGGGUGAGCGUCAGGGCCUACUUGGAGUCCUGUUUCUUUAGCUUCAAGCCUUCUUUCUCCUGCUAUAGUUAUGCAUCCAAGGUCCCCAUGGCAACCAAUUUGUGCACCUGGAGACACACAGCUGACUGGAAAGCUGCUUCUAAUGGCCAUAUGAGACACAUGAAGCCAGGCUCAGUACACAUAGCACUGGGGAUGACACUUAAAACCCUUUCCUAGAGCGUUGGAAAAAACUUCAGCCCCUAUCUCCUCACAUGACCUUUGACCUACAGAAACCAUUCAGGGCUUUAAAAUUUAAGCUCAUUGAGGACAUUAUGGGGUGUAUUCAGGAUUUAUAUUCAUUUACAUUUUUCACAUUUUAAAAGUCAGUCAGUGAUGAUUUAUCAUUUAAUUUUUCAAACUAAUUUAAACUCAUUCAAACUGAUACUUGAGGAUUUUAAAGUAUUUAAAUUUUCCAUGUUUUAAAUUAGUUUUAAUAUUCAUGCAUUACUCCAUCCUUCAAACAAAAUCCUACCUCAAGUACGACAACUACUGCUAAUGUCAAUUUAACUAGUACUUUCCCCUCUACUUCAACUGCUAUUGCUCCUAUUUCUACUUUCUCUACUUCAACUGCUAUUGCUACUGUUUCUACUUUCUCUACUAUUUUGACUUAUACUUCUUUUAUUCUCAAACUACUUCUACUGCUGACACGACUACUAGUAUCACGACUUGACCUCUUAUCAUACUACUUCUAGUACUACAACUUAAACUAAUGCCACUUCUCACCUUCCUGCCUUUUAAGGCAAUUUCCUUCUUCAUUCAAACUUUGUGCAAUUUUAGACAUUUUUCUAGCCUCAUUCAGCAUGAAUCAAAUUUCCUUUUAUAGAGCAUAUUCAUACUAUUUGUCCUUCAACCAAUGAAACCAUUAUCCAACUUAUAUUUCUUUUUCAUUACUUCAACAGCUUUAACAUUUAUACCUUUCUCCAUGUUUUAUUAGCAGUUUAAGCAUUGCUUUUUCAGCUUUAGCACUCAGCAUUUCCACGCAUUUUCUGCAAGGAAAUGCAAUUUUUCUAGUUAAGUGGAAAUGCUGAUAGGCAUUUCCACUUAUUGUUAUUCUCCUGUUUCUUUAUUAUUAUUAUUAUUAUUAUUAUUUUUCUUCCGCCAUUUUUUGGCACUUUAUAACUCUUCUCCACUUUGUGCGAUUUCAACCGUUCAAACUUUAAACUAUUCCUCUCCUUCAGGACAUGACGGCGAUUACUUUUCACUUUUCUACCCUUUAUACUUUUUGAUUUUUUUAACUUUUUAUGCAAAAAUUUUAACAUUGAAGUCAAUGGGGAAAUCUUCCAAUUCUUCCUGUUAUUCUUCCACCUUCUGAACCUUGUAACUUCUGCAUACUUUCACCUAGAGACCUCAUUUUUGCUUUAAAAUGUUCAUUGUCUUGUCGACUAUUACAGUUGUAGUCAGUUUUUUGAUAUCUUUUACAGUUCUUCCACAACAAUUUAGCUUUAAGCAACUUGUGGUUUUCAGCAAAUUUUCAGGCUUUAUAAUGGGUGUGUAUUGGAGAGUUUAGAGUGAGGAUUUGAAAAGCUAGAGUGCAGACCUCGUCUCUGAUCGACAGAACCUCGCUCGAAUAUAUCGCUCCCACGCCUACAAAUCUCACUCCACAGACAUAAAAAAUACAUCAAAAUGGAGGUAUAUGUGUCCUGCUUCUCACAAAAGAGGUUUCAAAUCAUUUAAUCCUACCCCUUGGCCAGCAGGUGACCAACUGUUCAAAUAGGCGGAAAUCUCUCCCAUUAGCCCUAAUGUAUUUUUUCUGCAAGAAAAUCCUUAUCGCCACUCAGGCUCAGACUUUUUUAACUCGCUGUUGUGGCCACAUUUCUUGGAGUACAGACAUGAAAAACACAUCAUUGUGUUCAUGAAGGGCGGAGGAUUCGUACGAUGUUCUUAUUUUCAUUCUUGGACUUAAGGAAAUCACGCUAUGUGAAGAAGUUCAGAGGCAAUAAAUUCACUGCACUUAAGGAGCUUCUCAGUCAAACAGUUGGUCAGUUAAUGCCUUUGAUCUCACAGCUGUUUAGGAUGCAGUCAUUAAGGAGAGACACACACACACACAUUCUUGUACUUGCUGCCUUGUGAGGUCUAUGAGAAAAGACCCACAAAGCGAGGACUACAAACUUUGAGCUACAGAAACCAUUCAGGGCUUCCAAAUAUUCAGCUCAUUGAGGACAAUAUGGGGUGUACUCAGGAUUUUUAUUCAUUUAACUUUUUCCCACUUUAAAAUUAUUCUCAUUAUUCAUGCAUUAUUAAAUGCUUCAGACAAAUCCAAACUCAUUCAAACUGAUUCAAACCUUUCGGAUACUUCAAACCUGUUUAACACAUUAGGACGUCUAAUUAUUUAAAGUUUUUCCCACUUCAAAAUCAUUCUCAUUAUUUAUGUAUGUUUUGAUUCUUCAAGCAAAAUCCCAGUUCUACCACUACAAUUACUACUUAUGUCACCUUAACUUGUAUCUUCACUUCUACCUCCACUGCUCUUGCUUCUCUUAAUAUUUUUUUACUUCUACUCUUACUUCUACCACGAGCUCUACUGCUUUGACUUCUACUUCUUCUAUUCUAAAACUACUUCUACUGCUUACAUGACUACUAAUAUCACUACUACAACUACCUAUUAUCAUACUACUUCUAGUACUACAACUUAAACUUAUGCCACUUCUCACGUACUUGCCUUUUAAGGUAAUUUACUUCUUCAUUCAAACUUUGUGUAAUUGUAAAAAAAUUUCCAGCCUCUUUCAGCAUGAAUCAAAUUUCAAUUUGAGGAGCAUAUUCGUACUAUUUAUUCUCCAACCUCUUAUUUACAAUUAUUUAACUUAUAUAUUUUUUCCCCCCUUCAACAGCUUUUACAUUUAUACCUUUCUCCAUGUUUUAUUAGCAGUUUAGCAUUGCUUUUUCAGCUUUCAGCACUCAGCAUUUCCACGCAUUUUCUGCAAGGAAAUGCAAUUUUUCUAGUUAAGUGGAAAUGCUGAUUAAGCAUUUCCACUUAUUGUUAUUCUCCCGUUUCUUUAUUAAGUGGAAAUGCUGAUAGGCAUUUCCACUUAUUGUUAUUCUCCCGUUUCUUUAUUAUUAAGUGGAAAUGCUGAUAGGCAUUUCCACUUAUUGUUAUUCUCCCGUUUCUUUAUUAUUAUUAUUAUUAUUAUUAUUAUUCUUCCGCCGUUUUUCGUCCGCUUUCAACUCCUUCCCAGUUUGUGCGAUUUCAACCGUUCAAACUUUAAACUAUUCCACUCCUUCAGGACACGUUUGCUAUUACUUUUCACUUUUCUAACAUUUAUACUUUUUGUUUUUUUUAACUUUUUGUGCAAAAAUUUUAACAUUGAAGUCAAUGGGGAAAUCUUCCAAUUCUUCCUUUUAUUCUUCCACCUUCUAGACCUUAUAACUUCAGCAUACUUUCACCUAGAGACCUCAUUUUUGCUUUAAAAUGUUCAUUCACUUGUCGACUAUUAAAGUUGUACUCAGUUUUUUUAUAUCUCUUACAGUUUUUCCACAAUUUAGCUUUAAGCAACUUGUGGUUUUCAGCAAAUUUCAGGCUUUAUAAUGGGUGUGUAUUGGAGAGUUUAGAGUGAUGAUGUCAUCAGCUAGAGUGCAGACCUCGUCUCUGAUCGACAGAACCUCGCUCGAAUAUAUCGCUCCCACGCCCACAAAUCUCACUCCACUGACACAAAUAAUACAUCAAAAUGGAGGUAUAUGUGUCCUGCUUCUCACAAAAGAGGUUUCAAAUCAUUAAAUCGUACCCCUUGGCCAGCAGGUGACCAACUGUCCAAAGAAGGCGGAAAUCUCUCCCAUUGACCGUAAUGUUAAUUUUCUCCAAGAAAAUCCGGAUCAUCGCUCAGGCUCAGACUUUUUUAACUCGCUGUUGUGGCCACAUCUGUCGGAGUACAGACAUGAAAAAUACUUCAUUGUGUUCAUGAAGGGCGGAGGAUUCGUACGAUGUUCUUAUUUUCAUUCUGUGACUUAAGGAAAUCACGCUAUGUGAAGAAGUUUAGAGCCUCUAAAUCCUCUGCAGUUCAGCUGCUUCUCAUUCAAACAGUAGGUCAGUGAUUUGCCUUUGAUCUCACAGCUGUUUAGGAUGCAGUCAUUAACGAGACACACACACACACACACACACACACACACAUUCUUGUACUUGUUGCUUUAUGAGGUCUACCUUGCAGUUCAGCUGCUUGUACACACAGUUAAUAUGUGUCUGCUUCACCACCUAUCUCCACCCACAAACUUUGAGCUACAGAAACCAUUCUGGGCUUCUAAAAUUCAGCUCAUUGAAGAUAUUAUGGGGUGUUUUGAGGAUUGUGAUAAUAAAUUGUAUUAAUGUGUUUAGCAGAGUCUUGUGUUCUCACAAGCUCCUUAUCAGGAAUAGAUACAGAGGAUGAGCGUCAGGGCCUACUUGGAGUCCUGUUUCCUUAGCUUCAAGCCUUCUUUCUCCUGCUAUAGUUAUGCAUCCAAGGUCCCCAUGGCAACCAAUUAGUGCACCUGGAGACACACAGCUGACUGGAAAGCUGCUUCUAAUGGCCAUAUGAGACACAUGAAGCCAGGCUCAGUACACAUAGCACUGGGGAUGACACUUAAAACCCUUUCCUAGAGCGCUUGAAAAAACUUCAGCCCCUAUCUCCUCACAUGACCUUUGACCUACAGAAACCAUUCAGGGCUUUAAAAUUUAAGCUCAUUGAGGACAUUAUGGGGUGUAUUUAGGAUUUAUAUUCAUUUAAAUUUUUCACAUUUUAAAGUCACUCAGUGAUGAUUUAUCAUUUAAUUUUUCAAACUAAUUUGAACUGAUUCAAACUGAUUCAAACCUUUCUAAUACUUAAAAAAUUAAACUUAUGCCACUUCCCACCUUCCUGCCUUUUAAGGCAAUUUCCUUCUUCAUUCAAACUUUGUGCAAUUUUAGACAUUUUUCUAGCCUCUUUCAGCAUGAAUAAAAUUUCUUUUUAUAGAGCAUAUUCAUACUAUUUGUCCUUCAACCAAUUAAUCAAUUAUCCAACUUACAUUUCUUUCACACCCCUUCAACAGCUUUAACAUUUAUACCUUUCUCCAUGUUUUAUUAGCAGUUUAGCAUUGCUUUUUCAGCUUUCAGCACUCAGCAUUUCCACGCAUUUUCUGCAAGGAAAUGCAAUUUUUCUAGUUAUUAUUAUUAUUAUUAUUAUUCUUCCGCCGUUUUUCGUCCGCUUUCAACUCCUUCCCAGUUUGUGCGAUUUCAACCGUUCAAACUUUAAACUAUUCCACUCCUUCAGGACACGUUUGCUAUUACUUUUCACUUUUCUAACAUUUAUACUUUUUGUUUUUUUUAACUUUUUGUGCAAAAAUUUUAACAUUGAAGUCAAUGGGGAAAUCUUCCAAUUCUUCCUUUUAUUCUUCCACCUUCUAGACCUUAUAACUUCAGCAUACUUUCACCUAGAGACCUCAUUUUUGCUUUAAAAUGUUCAUUCACUUGUCGACUAUUAAAGUUGUACUCAGUUUUUUUAUAUCUCUUACAGUUUUUCCACAAUUUAGCUUUAAGCAACUUGUGGUUUUCAGCAAAUUUCAAGCUUUAUAAUGGGUGUGUAUUGGAGAGUUUAGAGUGAUGAUGUCAUCAGCUAGAGUGCAGACCUCGUCUCUGAUCGACAGAACCUCGCUCGAAUAUAUCGCUCCCACGCCCACAAAUCUCACUCCACUGACACAAAUAAUACAUCAAAAUGGAGGUAUAUGUGUCCUGCUUCUCACAAAAGAGGUUUCAAAUAAUUAAAUCGUACCCCUUGGCCAGCAGGUGACCAACUGUCCAAAAAAGGCAGAAAUCUCUCCCAUUGACCGUAAUGUAAUUUGUCUCCAAGAAAAUCCGGAUCAUCGCUCAGGCUCAGACUUUUUUAACUCGCUGUUGUGGCCACAUUUUUCGGAGUACAGACAUGAAAAACACAUCAUUGUGUUCAUGAAGGGCGGAGGAUUCGUACGAUGUUCUUAUUUUCAUUCUGGGACUUAAGGAAAUCACGCUAUGUGAAGAAGUUUAGAGCCUCUAAAUCCUCUGCAGUUCAGCUGCUUCUCAUUCAAACAGUAGGUCAGUGAUUUGCCUUUGAUCUCACAGCUGUUUAGGAUGCAGUCAUUAACGAGACACACACACACACACACACACACACACAUUCUUGUACUUGUUGCUUUAUGAGGUCUACCUUGCAGUUCAGCUGCUUGUACACACAGUUAAUAUGUGUCUGCUUCGCCACCUAUCUCCACCCACAAACUUUGAGCUACAGAAACCAUUCUGGGCUUCUAAAAUUCAGCUCAUUGAAGAUAUUAUGGGGUGUUUUGAGGAUUGUGAUAAUAAAUUGUAUUAAUGUGUUUAGCAGAGUCUUGUGUUCUCACAAGCUCCUUAUCAGGAAUAGAUACAGAGGAUGAGCGUCAGGGCCUACUUGGAGUCCUGUUUCCUUAGCUUCAAGCCUUCUUUCUCCUGCUAUAGUUAUGCAUCCAAGGUCCCCAUGGCAACCAAUUAGUGCACCUGGAGACACACAGCUGACUGGAAAGCUGCUUCUAAUGGCCAUAUGAGACACAUGAAGCCAGGCUCAGCACACAUAGCACUGGGGAUGACACUUAAAACCCUUUACUAGAGCGCUUGAAAAAACUUCAGCCCCUAUCUCCUCACAUGACCUUUGACCUACAGAAACCAUUCAGGGCUUUAAAAUUUGAGCUCAUUGAGGACAUUAUGGUGUGUAUUUAGGAUUUAUAUACAUUUAGAUUUUUCACAUUUUAAAGUCACUCAGUGAUGAUUUAUCAUUUAAUUUUUCAAACUAAUUUGAACUGAUUCAAACUGAUUCAAACCUUUCUAAUAGUUAAAAAAUUAAACUUAUGCCACUUCCCACCUUCCUGCCUUUUAAGGCAAUUUCCUUCUUCAUUCAAACUUUGUGCAAUUUUAGACAUUUUUCUAGCCUCUUCCAGCAUGAAUAAAAUUUCUUUUUAUAGAGCAUAUUCAUACUAUUUGUCCUUCAACCAAUUAAUCAAUUAUCCAACUUACAUUUCUUUCACACCCCUUCAACAGCUUUAACAUUUAUACCUUUCUCCAUGUUUUAUUAGCAGUUUAGCAUUGCUUUUUCAGCUUUCAGCACUCAGCAUUUCCACGCAUUUUCUGCAAGGAAAUGCAAUUUUUCUAGUUAAGUGGAAAUGCUGAUAGGCAUUUCCACUUAUUGUUAUUCUCCCGUUUCUUUAUUAUUAUUAUUAUUAUUCUUCCGCCGUUUUUCGUCCGCUUUCAACUCCUUCCCAGUUUGUCCGAUUUCAACCGUUCAAACUUUAAACUAUUCCACUCCUUCAGGACACGUUUGCUAUUACUUUUCACUUUUCUAACAUUUAUACUUUUUGUUUUUUUUAACUUUUUGUGCAAAAAUUUUAACAUUGAAGUCAAUGGGGAAAUCUUCCAAUUCUUCCUUUUAUUCUUCCACCUUCUAGACCUUAUAACUUCAGCAUACUUUCACCUAGAGACCUCAUUUUUGCUUUAAAAUGUUCAUUCACUUGUCGACUAUUAUAGUUGUACUCAGUUUUUUGAUAUCUCUUACAGUUUUUCCACAAUUUAGCUUUAAGCAACUUGUGGUUUUCAGCAAAUUUCAAGCUUUAUAAUGGGUGUGUAUUGGAGAGUUUAGAGUGAUGAUGUCAUCAGCUAGAGUGCAGACCUCGUCUCUGAUCGACAGAACCUCGCUCGAAUAUAUCGCUCCCACGCCCACAAAUCUCACUCCACUGACACAAAUAAUACAUCAAAAUGGAGGUAUAUGUGUCCUGCUUCUCACAAAAGAGGUUUCAAAUCAUUAAAUCGUACCCCUUGGCCAGCAGGUGACCAACUGUCCAAAGAAGGCGGAAAUCUCUCCCAUUGACCGUAAUGUUAUUUUUCUCCAAGAAAAUCCGGAUCAUCGCUCAGGCUCAGACUUUUUUAACUCGCUGUUGUGGCCUCAUUUUUCGGAGUACAGACAUGAAAAACACAUCAUUGUGUUCAUGAAGGGCGGAGGAUUCGUACGAUGUUCUUAUUUUCAUUCUGUGACUUAAGGAAAACACGCUAUGUGAAGAAGUUUAGAGCCUCUAAAUCCUCUGCAGUUCAGCUGCUUCUCAUUCAAACAGUAGGUCAGUGAUUUGCCUUUGAUCUCACAGCUGUUUAGGAUGCAGUCAUUAACGAGACACACACACACACACACACACACACAUUCUUGUACUUGUUGCUUUAUGAGGUCUACCUUGCAGUUCAGCUGCUUGUACACACAGUUAAUAUGUGUCUGCUUCGCCACCUAUCUCCACCCACAAACUUUGAGCUACAGAAACCAUUCUGGGCUUCUAAAAUUCAGCUCAUUGAAGAUAUUAUGGGGUGUUUUGAGGAUUGUGAUAAUAAAUUGUAUUAAUGUGUUUAGCAGAGUCUUGUGUUCUCACAAGCUCCUUAUCAGGAAUAGAUACAGAGGAUGAGCGUCAGGGCCUACUUGGAGUCCUGUUUCCUUAGCUUCAAGCCUUCUUUCUCCUGCUAUAGUUAUGCAUCCAAGGUCCCCAUGGCAACCAAUUAGUGCACCUGGAGACACACAGCUGACUGGAAAGCUGCUUCUAAUGGCCAUAUGAGACACAUGAAGCCAGGCUCAGCACACAUAGCACUGGGGAUGACACUUAAAACCCUUUCCUAGAGCGCUUGAAAAAACUUCAGCCCCUAUCUCCUCACAUGACCUUUGACCUACAGAAACCAUUCAGGGCUUUAAAAUUUGAGCUCAUUGAGGACAUUAUGGGGUGUAUUUAGGAUUUAUAUACAUUUAGAUUUUUCACAUUUUAAAGUCACUCAGUGAUGAUUUAUCAUUUAAUUUUUCAAACUAAUUUGAACUGAUUCAAACUGAUUCAAACCUUUCUAAUACUUAAAAAAUUAAACUUAUGCCACUUCCCACCUUCCUGCCUUUUAAGGCAAUUUCCUUCUUCAUUCAAACUUUGUGCAAUUUUAGACAUUUUUCUAGCCUCUUUCAGUAUGAAUAAAAUUUCUUUUUAUAGAGCAUAUUCAUACUAUUUGUCCUUCAACCAAUUAAUCAAUUAUCCAACUUACAUUUCUUUCACACCCCUUCAACAGCUUUAACAUUUAUACAUUUCUCCAUGUUUUAUUAGCAGUUUAGCAUUGCUUUUUCAGCUUUCAGCACUCAGCAUUUCCACGCAUUUUCUGCAAGGAAAUGCAAUUUUUCUAGUUAAGUGGAAAUGCUGAUAGGCAUUUCCACUUAUUGUUAUUCUCCCGUUUCUUUAUUAUUAUUAUUAUUAUUAUUAUUAUUAUUCUUCCGCCGUUUUUCGUCCGCUUUCAACUCCUUCCCAGUUUGUGCGAUUUCAACCGUUCAAACUUUAAACUAUUCCACUCCUUCAGGACACGUUUGCUAUUACUUUUCACUUUUCUAACAUUUAUACUUUUUGUUUUUUUUAACUUUUUGUGCAAAAAUUUUAACAUUGAAGUCAAUGGGGAAAUCUUCCAAUUCUUCCUUUUAUUCUUCCACCUUCUAGACCUUAUAACUUCAGCAUACUUUCACCUAGAGACCUCAUUUUUGCUUUAAAAUGUUCAUUCACUUGUCGACUAUUAUAGUUGUACUCAGUUUUUUGAUAUCUUUUACAGUUUUUCCACAAUUUAGCUUUAAGCAACUUGUGGUUUUCAGCAAAUUUCAAGCUUUAUAAUGGGUGUGUAUUGGAGAGUUUAGAGUGAUGAUGUCAUCAGCUAGAGUGCAGACCUCGUCUCUGAUCGACAGAACCUCGCUCGAAUAUAUCGCUCCCACGCCCACAAAUCUCACUCCACUGACACAAAUAAUACAUCAAAAUGGAGGUAUAUGUGUCCUGCUUCUCACAAAAGAGGUUUCAAAUCAUUAAAUCCUACCCCUUGGCCAGCAGGUGACCAACUGUCCAAAAAAGGCGGAAAUCUCUCCCAUUGACCAUAAUGUUAUUUUUCUCCAAGAAAAUCCGGAUCAUCGCUCAGGCUCAGACUUUUUUAACUCGCUGUUGUGGCCUCAUUUUUCGAAGUACAGACAUGAAAAAGACAUCAUUGUGUUCAUGAAGGGCGGAGGAUUCGUACGAUGUUCUUAUUUUCAUUCUGUGACUUAAGGAAAUCACGCUAUGUGAAGAAGUUUAGAGCCUCUAAAUCCUCUGCAGUUCAGCUGCUUCUCAUUCAAACAGUAGGUCAGUGAUUUGCCUUUGAUCUCACAGCUGUUUAGGAUGCAGUCAUUAACGAGACACACACACACACACACACACACACAUUCUUGUACUUGUUGCUUUAUGAGGUCUACCUUGCAGUUCGACUGCUUGUACACACAGUUAAUAUGUGUCUGCUUCGCCACCUAUCUCCACCCACAAACUUUGAGCUACAGAAACCAUUCUGGGCUUCUAAAAUUCAGCUCAUUGAAGAUAUUAUGGGGUGUUUUGAGGAUUGUGAUAAUAAAUUGUAUUAAUGUGUUCAGCAGAGUCUUGUGUUCUCACAAGCUCCUUAUCAGGAAUAGAUACAGAGGAUGAGUGUCAGGGCCUACUUGGAGUCCUGUUUCCUUAGCUUCAAGCCUUCUUUCUCCUGCUAUAGUUAUGCAUCCAAGGUCCCCAUGGCAACCAAUUAGUGCACCUGGAGACACACAGCUGACUGGAAAGCUGCUUCUAAUGGCCAUAUGAGACACAUGAAGCCAGGCUCAGUACACAUAGCACUGGGGAUGACACUUAAAACCCUUUCCUAGAGCGCUUGAAAAAACUUCAGCCCCUAUCUCCUCACAUGACCUUUGACCUACAGAAACCAUUCAGGGCUUUAAAAUUUAAGCUCAUUGAGGACAUUAUGGGGUGUAUUUAGGAUUUAUAUUCAUUUAGAUUUUUCACAUUUUAAAGUCACUCAGUGAUGAUUUAUCAUUUAAUUUUUCAAACUAAUUUGAACUGAUUCAAACUGAUUCAAACCUUUCUAAUACUUAAAAAAUUAAACUUAUGCCACUUCUCACCUUCCUGCCUUUUAAGGCAAUUUCCUUCUUCAUUCAAACUUUGUGCAAUUUUAGACAUUUUUCUAGCCUCUUUCAGCAUGAAUAAAAUUUCCUUUUAUAGAGCAUAUUCAUACUAUUUGUCCUUCAACCAAUUAAUCAAUUAUCCAACUUAUAUUUCUGUUCACCCCUUCAACAGCUUUAACAUUUAUACCUUUCUCCAUGUUUUAUUAGCAGUUUAGCAUUGCUUUUUCAGCUUUCAGCACUCAGCAUUUCCACGCAUUUUCUGCAAGGAAAUGCAAUUUUUCUAGUUAUUAUUAUUAUUCUUCCGCCGUUUUUCGUCCGCUUUCAACUCCUUCCCAGUUUGUGCGAUUUCAACCGUUCAAACUUUAAACUAUUCCACUCCUUCAGGACACGUUUGCUAUUACUUUUCACUUUUCUAACAUUUAUACUUUUUGUUUUUUUUUACUUUUUGUGCAAAAAAUUUUAACAUUGAAGUCAAUGGGGAAAUCUUCCAAUUCUUCCUUUUUUUCUUCCACCUUCUAGACCUUAUAACUUCAGCAUACUUUCACCUAGAGACCUCAUUUUUGCUUUAAAAUGUUCAUUCACUUGUCGACUAUUACAGUUGUACUCAGUUUUUUGACAUCUCUUACAGUUUUUCCACAAUUUAGCUUUAAGCAACUUGUGGUUUUCAGCAAAUUUCAAGCUUUAUAAUGGGUGUGUAUUGGAGAGUUUAGAGUGAUGAUGUCAUCAGCUAGAGUGCAGACCUCGUCUCUGAUCGACAGAACCUCGCUCGAAUAUAUCGCUCCCACGCCCACAAAUCUCACUCCACUGACACAAAUAAUACAUCAAAAUGGAGGUAUAUGUGUCCUGCUUCUCACAAAAGAGGUUUCAAAUCAUUAAAUCGUACCCCUUGGCCAGCAGGUGACCAACUGUCCAAAGAAGGCGGAAAUCUCUCCCAUUGACGGUAAUGUUAUUUUUCUCCAAGAAAAUCCGGAUCAUCGCUCAGGCUCAGACUUUUUUAACUCGCUGUUGUGGCCACAUUUUUCGGAGUGCAGACAUGAAAAACACAUCAUUGUGUUCAUGAAGGACGGAGGAUUCGUACGAUGUUCUUAUUUUCAUUCUGGGACUUAAGGAAAUCACGCUAUGUGAAGAAGUUCACAGGCUUCAAAUCCUCUGCUGUUCAGCUGCUUCUCAUUCAAACAGUAGGUCAGUGAUUUGCCUUUGAUCUCACAGCUGUUAGGGAUGCAGUCAUUAAUGAGAAACACACACACACACGCACACAUUCUUGUACUUGUUGCAUUGUCAGGUCUACCUUGCAGUUCACCUGCUUGUACACACAGAUAAUAUGUGUCUGCUUCACCACCUAUCUCCACCCACAAACUUUGAGCUACAGAAACCAUUCUGGGCUUGAAAAAUUCAGCUCAUUGAAGAUAUUAUGGGGUGUUUUGAGGAUUGUGAUAAUAAAUUGUAUUAAUGUGUUCAGCAGAGUCUUGUGUUCUCACAAGCUCCUUAUGAAUAUAUACAGAGGGUGAGCGUCAGGGCCUACUUGGAGUCCUGUUUCCUUAGCUUCAAGCCUUCUUUCUCCUGCUAUAGUUAUGCAUCCAAGGUCCCCAUGGCAACCAAUUUGUGCACCUGGAGACACACAGCUGACUGGAAAGCUGCUUCUAAUGGCCAUAUGAGACACAUGAAGCCAGGCUCAGUACACAUAGCACUGGGGAUGACACUUAAAACCCUUUCCUAGAGCGCUUGAAAAACCUUCAGCCCCUAUCUCCUCACAUGACCUUUGACCUACAGAAACCAUUCAGGGCUUUAAAAUUUAAGCUCAUUGAGGACAUUAUGGGGUGUAUUUAGGAUUUAUAUUCAUUUAAAUUUUUCUCAUUUUAAAGUCACUCAGUGAUGAUUUAUCAUUUAAUUUUUCAAACUAAUUUAAACUCAUUCAAACUGAUUCAAACCUUUCUAAUACUUAAAAACUUUCUGAUACUUGAGGAUUUUUAAUUAAUAAAAUUUUCCCUGUUUUAUAUUAUUUUUAAUAUUUAUGCAUUAAUCCGUCCUUCAAACAAAAUCCUACCUCUAGUACUACAACUACUUAUGUCAAUUAAACUAGAACUUUCCCCUCUACUUCAACUGCUAUUGCUCCUAUUUCUACUUUCUCUACUGCUGCUAUUGCUACUAUUUCUACUUUCUUUACUACUUUGACUUAUACUUCUUUUAUUCUCAAUCUACUUCUACUGCUGACAUGACUACUAGUAUCACGACUUGACUUCUUAUCAUACUUCUUCUAGUACUACAACUUAAACUUAUGCCACUUCUCACCUUCCUGCCUUUAAAGGCAGUUUCCUUCUUCAUUCAAACUUUGUGCAAUUUUCGACAUUUUUCUAGCCUCUUUCAGCAUGAAUAAAAUUUCCUUUUAUAGAGCAUAUUCAUACUAUUUGUCCUUCAACCAAUUAAACUAUUAUCCAACUUAUAUUUCUUUUUCACCCCUUCAACAGCUUUAACAUUUAUACCUUUCUCCAUGUUUUAUUAGCAGUUUAGCAUUGCUUUUUCAGCUUUCAGCACUCAGCAUUUCCACGCAUUUUCUGCAAGGAAAUGCAAUUUUUCUAGUAUUAUACUUAACACUCUCCCCAUACGUUUCUUUGGACCGCUUCUCCUCCUUCAAAAUUUGUCCGAUUUCAACCGUUCAAACUUUAAACUAUUCCACUCCAUCAGGACAUGUGUGCUUGUAUUUUUUUCCUUUCUAUCCUUUGUACUUUUUAUUAUUUUUCACUUUUUGUGCCAAACUUUUUUUCCCAUAGAAAUGAAUGGGGAAAUCUUCCACUUCUUCCUGUUAUUCGUCCACCUUCUAAGCCUUAUAACUUCACCAUACUUUCACCUAGAGACCUCAUUUUUGCUUUAAAAUGUUCAUUGUCUUGUCGACUAUUGAUGUUGUAUUAACCUCUUUGUGCUAUCUUUUACAGUUUUUCCACAGUUUAGCUUUAUGCAACUUGUGGUUUUCAGCAAAUUUCAGGCUUUAUAAUGGGGCAGUAUUGGAGAGGCUAGAGUGAUGAUUUGAAAAGCUAGAGUGCAGACCUCGUCUCUGAUCGACAGAACCUCGCUUGAAUAUAUCGCUCCCACGCCCACAAAUCUCACUCCACAGCCAUAAAAAAUACAUCAAAAUGGAGGUAUAUGUGUCCUGCUUCUCACAAAAGAGGUUUCAAAUCAUUAAAUCCUACCCCUUGGCCAGCAGGUGACCAACUGUCCAAAUAGGCGGAAAUCUCUCCCCAUUGGCCCUAAUGUAUUUUUUCUCCAAGAAAAUCCUUAUCGUCACUCAGGCUCAGACUUUUUUAACUCGCUGUUGUGGCCACAUUUUUCGGAGUACAGACAUGAAAAACACAUCAUUGUGUUCAUGAAGGGCGGAGGAUUCGUACGAUGUUCUUAUUUUCAUUCUGGGAUUUAAGGAAAUCGUGCUAUGUGAAAAAGUUCAGAACCCUAAAUUCACUGCAGUUCAGCAGCUUCUCAGUCAAACAGUAGGUCAGUGAUUUGCCUUUGAUCUUACAGCUGUUUAGGAUGCAAUCAUUAACGAGACACACACACACACACACACACACACACAUUCUGCAUCCAAGGUCCCCAUGGCAACCAAUUUGUGCACCUGGAGACACACAGCUGAAUGGAAAGCUGCUUCUAAUGGCCAUAUGAGACACAUGAAGCCAGACUCAGUACACAUAGCACUGGGGAUGACACUUAAAACCCUUUCCUAGAGCGCUUGAAAAAACUUCAGCCCCCAUCUCCUCACAUGACCUUUGACCUACAGAAACCAUUCAGGGCUUUAAAAUUUAAGCUCAUUGAGGACAUUAUGGGGUGUAUUCAGGAUUUUUCUUCAUAUACAUUUUUCAAAUUUUAAAGUCACUCAGUGUUGAUUUAUUAUUUAAUUUGUAAACUAAUUUAAACUCAUUCAAACUCAUUCAUACCUUUCUGAUACUUAAAAUCUUACUGAUACUUGAGGAUUUUCAAUUAUUUAAAUUUACCCUGAUUUAAAUUAGUUUUAAUAUUUAUGCAUUAUUCCAUCCUUCAAACAAAAUCCCAUCUCUAGAGCUACAACUACUGCUAAUGUCAAUUAAACUAGAACUUUCCCCUCUACUUCAACUGCUAUUGCUCCGAUUUCUACUUUCUCUACUGCUGCUAUUGCUACUAUUUCUACUUUUUCUACUACUUUGACUUAUACUUUUUUCCCAAACUACUUCUACUGCUGACAUGACUACUAAUAUCACUACUCGACUACUUAUCAUACUACUUCUAGUACUACAACUUAAACUUAUGCCACUUCUCACCUUCCUGCCUUUUAAGGCAAUUUCCUUCUUCAUUCAAACUUUGUGCAAUUUUAGACAUUUUUCUAGCCUCUUUCAGCAUGAAUAAAAUUUCCUUUUAUAGAGCAUAUUCAUACUAUUUGUCCUUCAACCAAUUAAACAAUUAUCCAACUUAUAUUUCUUUUUCACCCCUUCAACAGCUUUAACAUUUAUACCUUUCUCCAUGUUUUAUUAGCAGUUUAGCAUUGCUUUUUCAGCUUUCAGCACUCAGCAUUUCCACGCAUUUUCUGCAAGGAAAUGCAAUUUUUCUAGUUAAGUGGAAAUGCUGAUUAAGCAUUUCCACUUAUUGUUAUUCCUGUCGGCCAUUUUUCUUUAUUAUUAUUAAGUGGAAAUGCUGAUUAAGCAUUUCCACUUAUUGUUAUUCCUGUCGGCCAUUUUUCUUUAUUAUUAUUAUUAUUAUUAUUAAGUGGAAAUGCUGAUUAAGCAUUUCCACUUAUUGUUAUUCCUGUCGGCCAUUUUUCUUUAUUAAGUGGAAAUGCUGAUUAAGCAUUUCCACUUAUUGUUAUUCUGUUCUUUAUUAUUAUUAUUAUUAUUAUUAUUUUUCUUCCGCCGUUUUUCGUCCGCUUUCAACUCCUUCAAACUUUGUCCGAUUUCAACCGUUCAAACUUUAAACUAUUCCACUCCUUCAGGACAUGUUUGCUUGUACUUUUUACCUUUCUACCUUUUAUACUUUUUGUUUUUUUUAACUUUUUGUGCAAAAAUUUUAACAUUGAAGUCAAUGGGGAAAUCUUCCACUCCUUCCUUUUAUUCUUCCACCUUCUAGACCUUAUAACUUCAGCAUACUUUCACCUAGAAACCUCAUUUUUGCUUUAAAAUGUUCAUUCACUUGUCGACUAUUACAGUUGUACUCAGUUUUUUGAUAUCUCUUACAGUUUUUCCACAAUUUAGCUUUAAGCAACUUGUGGUUUUCAGCAAAUUUCAAGCUUUAUAAUGGGUGUGUAUUGGAGAGUUUAGAGUGAUGAUGUCAUCAGCUAGAGUGCAGACCUCGUCUCUGAUCGACAGAACCUCGCUCGAAUAUAUCGCUCCCACGCCCACAAAUCUCACUCCACUGACACAAAUAAUACAUCAAAAUGGAGGUGUAUGUGUCCUGCUUCUCACAAAAGAGGUUUCAAAUCAUUAAAUCCUACCCCUUGGCCAGCAGGUGACCAACUGUCCAAAAAAGGCGGAAAUCUCUCCCAUUGACCGUAAUGUUAUUUUUUAAUGUUAAAAUCUGGAUCAUCGCUCAGGCUCAGACUUUUUUAACUCGCUGUUGUGGCCUCAUUUUUCGAAGUACAGACAUGAAAAACACAUCAUUGUGUUCAUGAAGGACGGAGGAUUCGUACGAUGUUCUUAUUUUCAUUCUGGGACUUAAGGAAAUCACGCUAUGUGAAGAAGUUCACAGGCUUCAAAUCCUCUGCAGUUCAGCUGCUUCUCAUUCAAACAGUAGGUCAGUGAUUUGCCUUUGAUCUCACAGCUGUUUAGGAUUAAAUCAUUAAUGACACACACACACCUCUGACAAUGUGUGUGCGUCAGUCUCUUUCUCUCUAUGAGACCUUCAGGUACACACAGUAAAUAUGUGCCUGCGUGAGUCUCUCUCUGUCUAUGAGACCUGAACACACUUUGACCAUGUGUCUGCUUCACUACCUAUCUUCUCUCACAAACUUUGAGACACAGACACAUUUAGGGCUUCAAAAAUUGCAGCUCAUUGAGGACAUUAUGGAGUCUACAGAGGAUUCAUUUAAAUUGUCCUUAUUUAAAAUCAUUCUCAUUAUUUAUGCAUUAUUCAAUUCUUCUAACAAAUUUAAUCUCAUUCUUAUUCUAACC
rnacentral:lncRNA from 1 species